rfam:Brachypodium distachyon strain Bd21 chromosome 1, whole genome shotgun sequence.
GAAGUACUCCCUCCGUCCCAUAUUAAGUGACUCAAAUUUGCUCGAAUAUGGGUGCAUCUAUAUCCCAAAAGUGUCUAGAUACAUGUAAUAUUUCGUCACUUAAUAUGGGACGGAGGGAGUAGUAC